rnacentral:rRNA from 1 species
GACGAACGCUGGCGGCGUGCUUAACACAUGCAAGUCGAACGGAAAGGCCCUGCUUUUGUGGGGUGCUCGAGUGGCGAACGGGUGAGUAACACGUGAGUAACCUGCCCUUGACUUUGGGAUAACUUCAGGAAACUGGGGCUAAUACCGGAUAGGAGCUCCUGCUGCAUGGUGGGGGUUGGAAAGUUUCGGCGGUUGGGGAUGGACUCGCGGCUUAUCAGCUUGUUGGUGGGGUAGUGGCUUACCAAGGCUUUGACGGGUAGCCGGCCUGAGAGGGUGACCGGCCACAUUGGGACUGAGAUACGGCCCAGACUCCUACGGGAGGCAGAAGUGGGGAAUAUUGCACAAUGGGCGGAAGCCUGAUGCAGCCACGCAGCGUGCGGGAUGACGGCCUUCGGGUUGUAAACCGCUUUCGCCUGUGACGAAGCGUGAGUGACGGUAAUGGGUAAAGAAGCACCGGCUAACUACGUG